rnacentral:rRNA from 1 species
UACAGGGGGGGCAAGCGUUGUUCGGAAUUACUGGGCGUAAAGGGCUCGUAGGCGGCCAACUAAGUCCGACGUGAAAUCCCAAAGCUUAACUUUGGAACUGCGUCGGAUACUGGAUGGCUUGAAUUCGGGAGAGGGAUGCAGAAUUCCAGGUGUAGCGGUGAAAUGCGUAGAUAUCUGGAGGAAUACCGGUGGCGAAGGCGGCAUCCUGGACCGACAUUGACGCUGAUGAGCGAAAGCCAGGGGAGCAAACGGG